rnacentral:rRNA from 1 species
GUGGGUAGUUUGACUGGGGCGGUCUCCUCCUAAAGAGUAACGGAGGAGCACGAAGGUUAGCUAAUCCUGGUCGGACAUCAGGAGGUUAGUGCAAAGGCAUAAGCUAGCUUGACUGCGAGAGUGACGGCUCGAGCAGGUGCGAAAGCAGGUCUUAGUGAUCCGGUGGUUCUGAAUGGAAGGGCCAUCGCUCAACGGAUAAAAGGUACUCCGGGGAUAACAGGCUGAUACCGCCCAAGAGUUCAUAUCGACGGCGGUGUUUGGCACCUCGAUGUCGGCUCAUCACAUCCUGGGGCUGAAGUAGGUCCCAAGGGUAUGGCUGUUCGCCAUUUAAAGUGGUACGCGAGCUGGGUUUAGAACGUCGUGAGACAGUUCGGUCCCUAUCUGCCGUGGGCGCUGGAGAAUUGAGGGGGGCUGCUCCUAGUACGAGAGGACCGGAGUGGACGCAUCACUGGUGUUCGGGUUGUCAUGCCAAUGGCAUUGCCCGGUAGCUAAAUGCGGAAGAGAUAAGUGCUGAAAGCAUCUAAGCACGAAACUUGCCCCGAGAUGAGUUCUCCCUGAGAC